CGGGCUUCAGGCCGGUCAUUUGCAGAUACAGCUCACUCUUGGAGUUAUCCCUGGAGAUGGUGAAUCGGCCUUUCACUGCAUCGAGGUAGUAUGUAGUACUCCCACCGGAGUUUAUGUAAGCGACCCAUUCUAGUCCCUUCCCGGGAGCCUGGCGGACCCAGUUCAUGCCGUAGCUGCUGAAGGUGAACCCGGAGGCUUUGCAGGAGAGGCGGAGAGAGUCUCCGGGCUUUUUCACAUCCCCUCCGGACUCCACCAGCGUCUGGGACCUGACACCU